CAGCAGCCACGGUAAUACCGAGGGUGCGAGCGUUAAUCGGAUUUACUGGGCGUAAAGCGUGCGUAGGCGGCUUCUUAAGUCGGAUGUGAAAUCCCUGAGCUUAACUUAGGAAUUGCAUUCGAUACUGGGAAGCAAGAGUAUGGGAGAGGAUGGUAGAAUUCCAGGUGUAGCGGUGAAAUGCGUAGAGAUCUGGAGGAAUACCGAUGGCGAAGGCAGCCAUCUGGCCUAAUACUGACGCUGAGGUACGAAAGCAUGGGGAGCAAACAGGAUUAGAUACCCCCGUAGUCCCUGUCUCUUAUAC
rnacentral:rRNA from 1 species